rfam:Myotis lucifugus cont2.21388, whole genome shotgun sequence.
AGGCCUGGAGAGAGAGAGGCAGGCUCUGAUCCCCAGCCUCCAUUGCAACUGUUGAUCAGCCGUUGCCUUUCUCUUUCUCUCCC